rnacentral:rRNA from 1 species
UACGUAGGGGGCUAGCGUUGUCCGGAAUCAUUGGGCGUAAAGCGCGUGUAGGCGGUCCGGUAAGUCCGCUGUGAAAGUCGGGGGCUCAACCCUCGAAUGCCGGUGGAUACUGUCGGGCUAGAGUGCGGAAGAGGCGAGUGGAAUUCCUGGUGUAGCGGUGAAAUGCGCAGAUAUCAGGAGGAACACCGAUGGCGAAGGCAGGUCUCUGGGCCACUACUGACGCUGAGAAGCGGAAAGCAUGGGGAGCGAACGGG